rnacentral:misc_RNA from 1 species
UAGAGACAAAAGUAGUAGGUGAUUUCUUUUUAGCAGAGUUUCUGAUACCUGUUGUUGGAGGUGGUACAUUUCUAGUGAAAUAAAUAAAGGUGCAUGAAAGCUGGUUGGUUGUAAAAAAAGAUGCUUAAUAAAGAGACUAAAUUGAACUUAUUGAAGACUAUGAUUAUCAAUGUGUAGAGCUAAGUUGUACUUGCAUGGAAGUUCAAGUAGAUUCAUUAAUGGCAUUUGGAAUGAAG